AUUGAACGCUGGCGGCAGGCCUAACACAUGAAAGUCGAACGAGUGGCGGACGGGUGAGUAAUGUAUGGGAAACUGCCUGAUGGAGGGGGAUAACUACUGGAAAAGGUAGCUAAUACCGCAUACCAUCGGAUGUGCCCAGAUGGGAUUAGCUAGUUGGUGGGGUAAAGGCUCACCAAGGCAACGAUCCGUAGCUGGUUUGAGAGGACGACCAGCCACACUGUAACGGAGACAAGUCCAAGCUUCCUACGGGAGGCAGCAGUGGUGAAUUUUGGACAAUGGGGGAAACCCUGAUCCAGCCAGCCCGCGUGUAUGAUUAAGGCCUUCGGGUUGUAAAGUACUUUUGGCAGAGAAGAGGUAUCUGCAGAAUAAGCACCGGCUAACUACGUGCCAGCCGCCGCGGUAAUAC
rnacentral:rRNA from 1 species